rnacentral:misc_RNA from 1 species
GAUGAAGAACGCAGCGAAAUGCGAUAAGUAAUGUGAAUUGCAGAAUCCAGUGAAUCAUCGAAUCUUUGAACGCACAUUGCGCCCCUUGGUAUUCCAUGGGGCAUGCCUGUUCGAGCGUCAUUUGUACCUUCAAGCUUUGCUUGGUGUUGGGUGUUUGUCUCGCCUCCGCGUGUAGACUCGCCUCAAAACAAUUGGCAGCCGGCGUAUUGAUUUCGGAGCGCAGUACAUCUCGCGCUUUGCACUCACAACGACGACGUCCAAAAGUACAUUUUUACACUCUUGACCUCGGAUCAGGUAGGGAUACCCGCUGAACUUAAGCAUAUCAAUAAGCGGAGGA